AUUGAACGCUGGCGGAAUGCUUUACACAUGCAAGUCGAGCGGCAGCGCGGCCUUCGGGCUGGCGGCGAGCGGCGAACGGGUGAGUGAUGCAUCGGAACAUGCCCAGUCGUGGGGGAUAACACUUCGAAAGAAGUGCUAAUACCGCAUACGUCCUGAGGGGGAAAGCGGGGGAUCGCAAGACCUCGCGCGAUUGGAGUGGCCGAUGUCAGAUUAGCUAGUUGGUGGGGUAAAGGCCUACCAAGGCGACGAUCUGUAGCUGGUCUGAGAGGAUGAUCAGCCACACUGGGACUGAGACACGGCCCAGACUCCUACGGGAGGCAGCAGUGGGGAAUUUUGGACAAUGGGGGCAACCCUGAUCCAGCCAUUCCGCGUGAGUGAAGAAGGCCUUCGGGUUGUAAAGCUCUUUCGGCAGGAACGAAACGGUGGGCUCUAACAUAGUCCGCUAAUGACGGUACCUGAAGAAGAAGCACCGGCUAACUACGUG
rnacentral:rRNA from 1 species